rnacentral:rRNA from 1 species
CCUACGGGUGGCAGCAGUGGGGAAUAUUGGACAAUGGGGGGAACCCUGAUCCAGCCAUGCCGCGUGUGUGAAGAAGGCCCUCGGGUUGUAAAGCACUUUCAGUGAGGAAGAACGCCUGGUGGUUAAUACCCAUCAGGAAAGACAUCACUCACAGAAGAAGCACCGGCUAACUCCGUGCCAGCAGCCGCGGUAAUACGGAGGGUGCGAGCGUUAAUCGGAAUUACUGGGCGUAAAGCGCGCGUAGGUGGCUUGAUAAGCCGGUUAUGAAAGCCCCGGGCUCAACCUGGGAACGGCAUCCGGAACUGUCAAGCUAGAGUGCAGGAGAGGAAGGUAGAAUUCCCGGUGUAGCGGUGAAAUGCGUAGAGAUCGGGAGGAAUACCAGUGGCGAAGGCGGCCUUCUGGACUGACACUGACACUGAGGUGCGAAAGCGUGGGUAGCAAACAGGAUUAGAUACCCUAGUAGUC